rnacentral:rRNA from 1 species
CCUACGGGAGGCAGCAGUGAGGAAUAUUGGUCAAUGGCCGGAAGGCUGAACCAGCCAUGCCGCGUGAAGGUCAGUGCCCUAUGGGCGUUAAACUUCUUUUGUGCGGGAGCAAUAAUGGUCACGUGUGGCCAGACGAGAGUACCGUACGAAUAAGCAUCGGCUAACUCCGUGCCAGCAGCCGCGGUAAUACGGGGGAUGCAAGCGUUAUCCGGAUUUAUUGGGUUUAAAGGGUGCGUAGGCUGUGAGGUAAGUCAGCGGGGAAAUGCCCCCGCUCAACGGGGUGAAGUGCCAUUGAUACUGCCUUGCUGGAAUGCGGAUGCGGUGGGAGGAAGGUGUGGGGUAGCGGUGAAAUGCAUAGAUAUCACACAGAACACCGAUUGCGAAGGCAUCUCACGAAUCCGCGAUGGACGCUGAUGCACGAAAGCGGGGGUAUCAAACAGGAUUAGAUACCCGGGUAGUC